AUAUACAUCUCUCAAACUAACCAGAUCAAAAGGGAAGUAACAUAUCAUCAAUAGCUGAACAUGAACAUCAUAACAGGAAUCCUGCUACUGCAGAUGCUGACUGGAUUGCAGAGUCAGAUAUUGUCUGAGUCUGAACCAGCUGUUGUAAAACCUGGUCAAUCUCAUAAACUGACCUGCACUGCUUCUGGGCUGAACUUUGAUGGCUCCUGGAUGGCUUGGAUCAGGCAGGCUCCUGGGAAAGGGCUGGAAUGGUUGUCAACUAUCACAAAUGGUGGUGGCACUACAUAUUAUUCAAGCUCUGCACAGGGAAGAUUCACCAUCUCCAGAGACGACAAUGUGGACCAGCUGUAUCUGCAGAUGAACAGUCUGAAGACUGAGGACACGGCUGUGUAUUACUGUGCCCGAGAGCCACAGUGAUGAAAGAGUCUGGAG